GCCAGGCGUGGUUGUGCACACCUGUAAUCCCAGCGACUCAGAAGGCUGAGACAGGAGGAUGGCAAGUUUGAGGUCAGCCUUCAGCCACUUAGCAAGACCUUGUCUCAA
rnacentral:sRNA from 1 species